rnacentral:rRNA from 1 species
GACGAACGCUGGCGGCGCGCUUAACACAUGCAAGUCGUGCGAUACCUUGAGCGAGUCCUACGACAAGUUCAAGGUAGAGCGGCGGACGGUGAGUAACACGUGAGUAGCUGUCCUAAGGAGGGGGAGUAACGCCUGGAAACGGGUAGGCUAAAACCCCAACUAUGCCUCGCAAGAGGUGAAAAUAGUAUUACUACAGCCUUAGGUGUGCUCGCGGCCUAUCAGCUAGUUGGUGAGGUAACGGCUCACCAAGGCUAAGAACGGGUAGCCGGCCCUGAGAGGGUGUACGGCCACACUGGAAUUGAGAUACGGUCCAGACUCCUACGGGAGGCAGCAUG